rnacentral:rRNA from 1 species
GACAGAGGGUGCAAACGUUGUUCGGAAUUACUGGGCGUAAAGCGCGUGUAGGCGGCCAUCUAAGUCGGGCGUGAAAUCCCACGGCUCAACCGUGGAAGUGCACUCGAAACUGGAUGGCUAGAGUCCUGGAGAGGAAGGUGGAAUGCUUGGUGUAGAGGUGAAAUUCGUAGAUAUCAAGCGGAACACCGGUGGCGAAGGCGGCCUUACUGGACAGUGACUGACGCUGAGACGCGAAAGCGUGGGGAGCAAACAGG